AUGCAGGGAUCAGUGUGUCUCUUUAGAAACUCACUGACUAUUAAAACAAUCCUGAGCUGGUCUGUUCUGCUCCUGCUGUCCUCUUUAACCCACGUCCACAGCAUCAGUCUGACCUCGUCUCCUGCUCAGGUGAAGCCUCCUGGAGAAUCUGUGAGGUUGUCCUGUCAGAUUUCUGGAUAUUCCCUCACAAGCUAUGGAACAGCUUGGGUCCGGCAGCCUCCAGGUAAAGGCUUGGAGUGGAUCGGGAUCAUCUGGGGUGGUGGAUCUAUAGACUCUGGAUCUUCUUUUAAGAGUCGUUUCACAAUAUCCAGAGACACGAGCAGCAACGUGCUGUUCUUAGACAUCAGCAGCCUGGAGUCUGGAGACACGGCUGUGUAUUAUUGUGCCAGGAGAGACACAGUAGUACAGCUCAGUGAGACAGGUCGCUGUGUGAAUGGGAAAGCUCUUAACGGCAAUCAUGGUGCUGGUUCACGGAUAAAGUCCCGCCUAUUAGGAGAAACAGCCCAUCAGCUCGCUGGUUUUGCGGAGCGUGGAGGAGAGCUAGUGUGA